AUAAACCAAUAUGGCGAAUAGGAAGUGCUUGGCUGGCCCCUGAAUACAACCGUUCUGGAUGUAGGAUUUGAACAAAGGGACAAACAACGGCAUGUCUCAAAGAUAGGAAAGGCUGAAAAUGACUCCUGGAGUGAGGGAACUUUCAAAGAAGAAGUCAUAAAGGUGUAUGGCUAUGUCUUCUUUGAUAAAUGGAAUAAUAAAACUGAGACAACCUUCUUGACAAAAUUCUUCCCAGCUCUGACUUCUAGCCUUCAACACGAGAAGCCGUCCUUUGCUACUUUGUGUUGCUGUGCAAGACAAAAUCUCUGGUUCUUCUGGAAUUUGAUCUGCGUCCAAGGAACGGAAGCGCAAGUCAAAUCAGAAGCUGCCUGAAGGGAUAUCACCAGGCUCUGAGCCCGAGCUGGAAGAGGCUUUGGAAAAUAUACAGGACAGCUGUGCGUCGCUGCCACGUCUCUCCUCCCCGCCGGAGUGGACGCGCGAAGUGGGGGCGCAGUGCUCAGCUAACAAAAACCUUGCUCCUGAGCUGCGCAGCUUUAACUGAAAGCAGCAUUGUGGACACAGCGCCCACCUCCGCUCCUCUGGCUGUGGGUUUUUUUUUUCUUCUUCUUCUUUUCUUUGCACAAGCAGCCAAUAUAGCUGAGAUAUAAAAGUUUUUUUUUUCUUUUCGUCUUCUUUUUUGUUGCGUUUUCAAGGUGCAAGUGCUUCUUUUGAUUAAAAGCCAAACGCGACACGGAGUGAAGGCAUUCGGUGCGUGGCGCAGCGCGACAGUGCGGUGUCCGAUUACGAACCACCGCGCGCCGGGCGGCUUGGUCCCGGUGAGCGCUUCCCCGUGGGGGCAGAAAUAGCACACUUGGCUCCGGAGGGACGAGACAGAGCACAGAGGAAUCCCUGUAGAGACACAAGGAGUUUUCUUUUUUUGUUGUUUUUUUAUUAUUAUUAUUAUUUUUUUAAUUACAAUUAUUUUUGAACGUGGUCGUCAGUCGCAGAGACAAAUAAGCUGUAAGGAUAUUUCAUCUCCAGCUCCUCUUCAUUUCCAGUUACCGUCCACCUCUCUUCUCACCGGGACAAGACACGCAGUUUGGCUCAGUGCUAGAUGAACGGGAGUUGGGCACUUUACUUGGUAAGAGACGAAAACAUCAUCAUCAUGUUGCGCUGAUUUAUACGUGUCUGCUUCAUUGCUAGCAUUUAAAACAAUUUUGAGCAUUCUCACGUGGAUUGUCCAUCCGUUUCCUGCUAAAUACGCUCCCGGUUUGGUUUGAUCACUAAAGGGCGAUUUCAAGUCAACUUCAGAUUUACUGAGGACAUCCUGUUGCUUAUAUAGGGAUGCGCCGGCUUAGAGCACCGAACGUAACACCCGUAACAAAGAUAAUCAGUUUUAGAAGUUUUUUUUUUUCGUCAUGCCCUUCAAUUACUGACCACAUGGUGGUGCUGGCAGAGUGCAGCCAUCACCACUAUAGAAGCUGAAGUCGACUCA